UACUGUACAAUUACUGACUUAGGCAUGUGCUAUUCAGGUGUCAAAGCUGUGCGAAACUGGAGGGAGAAACUUGAGAGACCGUGCCGGAAGAAUGCUGGACAGAGUUCACUAAAAUUCAUUAAUUUCAAAGUUCAACAUGAAUGGUGGUGGUCCACUGCAGAAGCAAGCAUUUGAAAAAACAUCAGUUCUCAGUUAUUAAAGAUGCUGUGUUGAACAACUUCCCAGCAGCAACAGAACUGGAAGUGAAGGAUGCAAUGGGGGCAUUUCAAACAGGCACCAGGGAGCGGGGGGGGGGGGGGUGUAUA